GCAGCAAUGUUGAAGGCGAGACCCCUUGGUCGCGACAAAAAUUAGGUUCGCAAAAGGCGAGGAAAGAGAGAGAAAGAAGGUAGUUUUUUGUAAAGACAAAUUUGUAAGAGCAAAAUAGUCAUUUUUACGCACCACUGGAAAAAACUAAUGGUGAAUCAAACGAUAGGGGGCAUAUGAAUGAAACAGAAUUUUUGGAGGGAUAUAUUUGCAAACCAGAGAACUUUGGAAGGGACAAAU
rnacentral:lncRNA from 1 species